GGGGGGGGUGGGUGGGGGGAGUAAGGCAAGGGGUAAUGAAGAGGAGGAGGAGGGGUAGAGAGAAGAGGAGGAAGGGGAGGCAGUGGUCAAAAAGUGAGCCAGAAGGUAAUAGGCAGGGACAGCGUUUUUUUCAAGCCUGCAGUGCUGAGGGGAAGAAAAGCCAAUGAAUCAUCUUGGAAAAAAUCAAAUAAAAAAGGGAGGGAUUAGUGAAAGUUUAAUGGUUGACUUGAACUGACAGUACAACAGUGUGCAAGGAGAAGUGAGAGACUGUAAAGCAGAAAGACAGACCAGAUAACGGACAGAGACAAAGGGAGACUUCCUGUUAAGUCCUGUGCAGUUAUGACGGAUGCAGUGAACGCUGCUCUCCUUUGAGCAACAGUGAAACUUUCUUUGAAUGCGAUGACGGAUGAACUGCUCAGUGAAACUUUAUUCAGAAGAUCUCCCUUUUCUGGAACCGUUCAUGAUCUGUCUUUCCUUAUCUCAUCCACCUCUCUCAGGUGGAGAACUUAAUAGAGCAGGAAAGUAGUUUCCCAAACUCAUCCAUCACUCCGUCUCUCCUCUAUUCCUUCAGUCCAGACUGGAAGGAUAGAUGGGUUUAGAGCGAGGAUGAGGAAGAAAGAGGAAGCUUAUGUCAUCCAUCACCUUAUUGCCAACAUCAGUGAAGGAGAGAUCACACCGGUGGGGGAAUUUAAAGAAUGGAAUAUAAUUGAACCAGUUGAUUAAAAGACAGAAGUCCUUUGGAUCUCGAGUGUAGCAACCCAUCUGGCCAGUUACUGUGGCAGCAGCUGUGUAGGUCUGAGAUGAUUCCCAGGAGUGUGUAUGUGUGUGUGUGUGUGUUUUAGUGUGGGUGUGUGUGU